rfam:Nematostella vectensis strain CH2 x CH6 NEMVEscaffold_253_Cont20985, whole genome shotgun sequence.
CCUUCGAUAGCUCAGUUGGUAGAGCGGGGGACUGUAGAUUUUUAACUGUGAUCCCUAGGUCGCUGGUUCGAAUCCGGCUCGAAGGA